rnacentral:rRNA from 1 species
AUUGAACGCUGGCGGCAUGCCUUACACAUGCAAGUCGAACGGUAACGCGGGGCAACCUGGCGACGAGUGGCGAACGGGUGAGUAAUGCAUCGGAACGUGCCCAGUAGUGGGGGAUAGCCCGGCGAAAGCCGGAUUAAUACCGCAUACGACCUACGGGUGAAAGGGGGGGAUCGCAAGACCUCUCGCUAUUGGAGCGGCCGAUGUCAGAUUAGGUUGUUGGUGGGGUAAAGGCCUACCAAGCCGACGAUCUGUAGCUGGUCUGAGAGGACGACCAGCCACACUGGGACUGAGACACGGCCCAGACUCCUACGGGAGGCAGCAGUGGGGAAUUUUGGACAAUGGGCGAAAGCCUGAUCCAGCCAUGCCGCGUGCGGGAAGAAGGCCUUCGGGUUGUAAACCGCUUUUGUCAGGGAAGAAAUCUUCUGGGUUAAUACCUCGGGAGGAUGACGGUACCUGAAGAAUAAGCACCGGCUAACUACGUGCCAGCAGCCGCCGUAA